CAGUAGCCGCGGUAAUACGAAGGGUGCAAGCGUUAAUCGGAAUUACUGGGCGUAAAGCGUGCGUAGGCGGUUUGUUAAGUCUGUUGUGAAAUCCCCGGGCUCAACCUGGGAAUUGCAAUGGAUACUGGCAAGCUAGAGUGUGUCAGAGGAUGGUGGAAUUCCCGGUGUAGCGGUGAAAUGCGUAGAGAUCGGGAGGAACAUCAGUGGCGAAGGCGGCCAUCUGGGACAACACUGACGCUGAGGCACGAAAGCGUGGGGAGCAAACAGGAUUAGAUACCCGCGUAGUCCCUGUCUCUUAUAC
rnacentral:rRNA from 1 species